CAUGUAUUUUAUAUCAUUAAUAACCAUAUCAGUAACUCGUGCCGAGAGGGAGGCCUCCCUUUACGGACACUGUGAUCGGCCAACCCGCUAGAUGACUCACGAUCACAAAGGUGUACACUAAUUCCGAAGGGAUUUGCGGUCUCAUCCAGAAUAAAACAUCAUAUAGGCAAUUAAUAAUAAAACAUAAAGCAUAUAUGCAUUGACAAUUAUUUAAAGUCGUUUCAUAAGGCAUAAAGUCUUAGCAAUUCUAUAAUAUGAUUUUAGUUUAUACAUAGAAAGCCCACCUGAUAGCAAAGACUCACGGCUUAGCUUUAACUCUUUUGCUUGACCUUUAAUCCGAGAAAAUAAAGUAAAGUUUAAUUCGAGGAAAUUUCCAAAUAAAUGAGGAUGCGUAAAGUAAUUAUGCAUGAGUCAUAUUCCUUUUAAUUAUUAGGAGAUGUUAAUCUGAAUUAUAGGAUUAAAGCUCAUCUUAGGGGCUCGAAUAAUUAAUCUUAAUUAAUCCAUGCAUCUUAGGAUGUUCUAACCUGCUUUCUAAUUAAAUAGAUCUAUUCUAUUUAAUCCAUAAUCGGAAAUUAAUAAGCUAACAAGUCUUAAAAUUGAUUUUCUAUUAGACUUAAAUAUAGGAUAAAUAAUAAAAACCCAAUUUAAUUAAUUCUAAUCAGUCCACUCUACUUAAUAACAAACCUGGGCUCAUUUAAGGAAAUAAGUCAGCCAUUUUUUAAUUAAAUCCAGCCCAGUAAAAAAAAGAACAGGUCCAAUACAAAAAUAAUGAGAGGCCCAAUCAGAUUUUAAAAGAAUUAGGCCCAAGAAAAACAAAUCAGGCCCAAGAAAAAAAAAAAAAAACCCAAUUCCUCUCUUUUCUCCCCCAACUCACGAUUCCUCUCUUCUCAAAUCAGAAACGCCUCUCUCUCUCUUCCUCUCUCUCGCUCCGCCUUCGUCGAGGCUUCCGCUGCCGCCGCGAUCUCCUGAAGUCCGGCGACCAGCUGCCGGCGUGGCUGGCGUUCACCUGUUGACUGCGCCGCCUCCUCACCUAAAACCCUCUCUUCACCGCUGCACAAGCAGAGCCCCAAAUCGAGCCCUAAAUGUUUCUCCUUCGUUGGGUCCGCCGCCACCGUGGUUUCUGUAAAUCCGGCGACUCACCACCGUCGUCUCUGAGAAUCCGGCGAGUGGUCGCUGCUUUCGAUUCCGGCGUCGCACUGCCUCCUCAGACCUCCCCCCUCUCUCGAUUUGCCUCUCAAUCGAAAUCCCCAAAUGAAGAAUGGAGUAAAAGCCCUAGCUUUCCAGAAAUCAGAAAUCGCCUCCCUCUGUUCGACGCCGCCGCGUCCUGUAACACCGGCGCCUGUUAGUCGUCGUUCUCCCUCAGUUCUUGGUGGCGCCGAUGUAGAACCUGAGCCCGACGCCAUCUCUCAACUUUGCCGCCGCUUGAAGGAUGUUGAGCCUCCGUCCGUCGCCUCGGCGUGCGAUUUUCGGCGAGACUGCCGUGUCUGGAUUUCAUUCGCCACCGCUGGCAGAUUCCAAGAAUCGGCGAAGUCGCCACAGCUCUGGAUCGGUGCGCCGUCAUCCCCGAUUCAGAGCUGGCAGUAGUCCCCCCCCCCCCCCCAACCUAAAGCUAAGUUUUAAUCUUGCUUCUUCUUCUUUUCAUUGCAAUGGAGUAUCGAUACACAUAGAGGCUUAUUAGAGCAAGAGAAGCCAGAGCUUAAUUGUUCUAAAAGUGAGCAUGUUGUGGUCGUAUUUGUUCGUCUAUCAGUAAUAGUGGUGAAAUCUUGGAGGAGUUGAAGAGCGUUAAAGAAGUUUACCUCCUUGGCAGAGAUGGAUGAAUGAUUUCCUCCCUUCUUCACGUGAGCUGUUAGAGUAUAAUGGAGAGGGAAGUGUUAGGAGGUUGUUUGCUGAAAUGAGAGGUAAAAAGGGAAGAAGGCUGGCUGGAGCUUGAGUACCUACUAAAUGGUAGGGUGGCUGAUGUGAGUCCCAUGUGUACCUUGGGUAUGGCUGUUGUGGCAGAGGUGGAGUGCUUACUGCUGCUGCAGUUGUUACAGAAAAUGGGGAGGGGACGCAGCUGAUCUUAUUCUCUCCCUCUCUCUCUCUUUUUUUUUUCCUUUGUUGCAGGUGGUAGAAUAGAGUUGUAGUAUAGGUGUAGGGUUGUAAGGUUGUGAUGGUAAGGGAUUAAGAGUUGUGAAGCGAUUUAAAUAAAAUCCUUCAGUAUUGGUCGUUC